rnacentral:rRNA from 1 species
AUACGUAGGGUGCGAGCGUUGUCCGGAAUUACUGGGCGUAAAGAGCUCGUAGGUGGUUUGUCGCGUCGUCUGUGAAAUUCCGGGGCUUAACUCCGGGCGUGCAGGCGAUACGGGCAUAACUUGAGUACUGUAGGGGAGACUGGAAUUCCUGGUGUAGCGGUGAAAUGCGCAGAUAUCAGGAGGAACACCGGUGGCGAAGGCGGGUCUCUGGGCAGUAACUGACGCUGAGGAGCGAAAGCAUGGGUAGCGAACAGGAUUAGAUACCCUGGUAGUCCAUGCCGUAAACAGUGGGCGCUAGGUGUAGGGUCUUCCACGACUUCUGUGCCGUUGCUAACGCAUUAAGCGCCCCGCCUGGGGAGUACGGCCGCAAGGCUAAAACUCAAAUGAAUUGACGGGG